UAAAAUAAUUCAGGGAGGGGGAGGUAAAUCUUAAAAUUAUCGUCUCUGUUCAGCAGGAGGAGAAAGGGGCCGGAGAGGACUAUGCGGCGAGGGUUAGUAUGUCCCUUUGGGCUUUUGUUGACUCGUGGCGCCCUUCUUUUCUCCUGAAGGCAGAGUGAAACACACAAUGAGUAAUCGAUCCGGUGAGAGUGGCUACCUGUUACUUGGGUCCAUACGACUGGCUGAUAAACGACUUGUUCCUCCGAUCUCUUCGUACAGGAUGCUCGGGCGGCGCCUCCCCUUCUGCACACUCCGAGCUGAGCGCCAACCCGCGACACAGAACUCCAAUGGCACUGCAAGAGAGAGGUCACUCAAACUGCGGGGGACAACACAGGUAGGUACUUCACAGGCAACUGGGGCUCUAUUCUCACUUUAGUGAUUCGUAGCAAUGGACAAAGGUAAGUAUUUCACAGGCAACUGGGGCUCUAUUCUCACUUUAGUGAUUCGUAGCAAUGGACAAAGGUAAGUAUUCCACAGGCAACUGGGGCUCUAUUCUCACUUUAGUGAUUCGCAGCAAUGGACAAAGGUAGGUAUUUCACAGGCAACUGGUGCUCUAUUCUCCCUUUAGUGAUUCGUAGCAAUGGACAAAGGUAGGUAUUUAGAUGAAAAUGGCGCUUCACCAGCCUCAACGGUCACUGGUCUCCCCCACGACUCAUCCAGUCCAGGGUGGCUACUGACAACACAACCACAGCAUACCACUGCAAGAUUUCAAGUGUACACACUCACAGCAAAGACAAGGACUCACCCACUGCACUCCACACACUCUACGUGAAAUAGGGUCAGAACCACGGUUUACUAGGACUUAUCCUGGGGUUUCGUUGGGCGUUGUUGAUAGAUGAAGGGCCGGAGGAAUAACGUUGCCGUCACGACUGCUUGCGGCUUCCUGUACUCGUACUUCCCGGCUCACCCAAAACUCUGCUCCGUAAUGGGGCCACUGGCCUAUUUACCAGAUGCUCACAACAUACGCUGGAUAAUGCACUCUCCCCAAUGAUGUACAAUGCACUGUCCAAAAGUACUCACAAAUGAACGAUAACACUCUUCCUUUGUCUCCUUCUCCUUCUAGCUGUCCAAUCCUCUUCACACCAUCGGUUUUCCGUUGCUGGAGAUCACCCUUGACGUUACUUCCGGUGAGUACUUCCUAUGACUGUGACUCCAACACAUCAGUAGUUUAUAUACAGAUGGUCUCUUCAAACAUCAAUAAAUGUCGUAUA